rnacentral:rRNA from 1 species
UGGGGAAUUGUUCACAAUGGGCGCAAGCCUGAUGACGCAACGCCGCGUGGGGGAUGAAGGCCUUCGGGUCGUAAACUCCUGUCGAGCGGGAAGAAUUGCUUCGAGGUGAAUAUCCUCGAAGUUUGACGGUACCGCUAAAGGAAGCCCCGGCUAACUCCGUGCCAGCAGCCGCGGUAAUACGGGGGGGGCAAGCGUUGUUCGGAAUUACUGGGCGUAAAGGGCUCGUAGGCGGCCAACUAAGUCAGACGUGAAAUCCCCAGGCUCAACCUGGGAACUGCGUCUGAUACUGAUUGGCUUGAAUUCGGGAGAGGGAUGCAGAAUUCCAGGUGUAGCGGUGAAAUGCGUAGAUAUCUGGAGGAAUACCGGUGGCGAAGGCGGCAUCCUGGACCGACAUUGACGCUGAGGAGCGAAAGCUAGGGGAGCAAA